rnacentral:rRNA from 1 species
AACGAACGCUGGCGGCAUGCCUAACACAUGCAAGUCGAACGAGGCCUUCGGGUCUAGUGGCGCACGGGUGCGUAACGCGUGGGAACCUGCCCUUAGGUUCGGAAUAACUCCCCGAAAGGGGUGCUAAUACCGGAUAAUGUCUUCGGACCAAAGAUUUAUCGCCUUUGGAUGGGCCCGCGUUGGAUUAGCUAGUUGGUAGGGUAAAAGCCUACCAAGGCGACGAUCCAUAGCUGGUCUGAGAGGAUGAUCAGCCACACUGGGACUGAGACACGGCCCAGACUCCUACGGGAGGCAGCAGUGGGGAAUAUUGGACAAUGGGCGAAAGCCUGAUCCAGCAAUGCCGCGUGAGUGAUGAAGGCCUUAGGGUUGUAAAGCUCUUUUACUCGGGAUGAUAAUGACAGUACCGGGAGAAUAAGCUCCGGCUAACUCCGUG